rnacentral:rRNA from 1 species
UACCUGGUUUAUCCUACCAGUAGUCAUAUGCUUGUCUCAAAGAUUAAGCCAUGCAUGUGUAAGUAUGAACAAAUUCAGACUGUGAAACUGCGAAUGGCUCAUUAAAUCAAUUAUAGUUUGUUUGAUGGUAUUUGCUACUCGGAUAACUGUAGUAAUUCUAGAGCUAAUACGUGCAACAAACCUCGACUUCUGGAGGGGAUGCCAACCAGGGAUCGACGGAUGUUGCUUUUAGGACUCCACCGGCACCUUAUGAGAAAUCAAAGUCUUUGGGUUCCGGGGGGAGUAUGGUCGCAAGGCUGGAACUUAAAGGAAUUGACGGAAGGGCACCACUAGGAAUGGAGCCUGCGUCUUAAUUUGACUCAACACGGAGAAACUUACUAGGUCUAGACAUAGUAAGGAUUGACAGAUUGAGAGCUCUUUCUUGAUUCUAUAGGUGGUAGUGCAUGGUCGUUCUUAGUUGAUGGAGCGAUUUGUCUGGUUAAUUCCGUUCAGCCUGCUAACUAGCUACACGGAGGUAAUCCUCCAUGGCUAGCUUCUUAGAGGGACUAUGGCCUUUUAGGCCACGGAAGUUUGAGGCAAUAACAGGUCUGUGAUGCCCUUAGAUGUUCUGGGCCGUACAUGCGCUACACUGAUGUAUUCAACGAGUCUAUAGCCUUGACCGACAGGCCCGGGUAAUCUUUGAAAUUUUAUCAUGAUGGGAAUAGAUCAUUGCAAUUGUUGGUCUUCAAUGAGGAAUUCCUGGUAAGCGCGAGUCAUUAGUGCGCGUUGACUACGUUCCUGCCCUUUGUACACACCGCCCGUCACUCCUACCGAUUGAAUGGUCCGGUGAAGUGUUCGGAUAGCGGCGAAGGGAAACUUGCAACCAUGAGUGACUUGUGCGAUUUAUCACUU